UCCAUUCAUCGAUCCAUUCAUCAUCCAUCCAUCCAUCCUUCCAUCCAUUCAUCCAUCUCUUCCUGCAGCUUUUUUGCCACAGAUGUUUCAUGAAGCUGAAGAUGUUUUCUUUAAUGUGAUCAGACUAAUCCUGCUUUAUAUUCUGGAUUUCAGGUUUCCCUCCUGUUGCCAUGGCAAAAAUAUGCAGCCACAUUUGAAUUCAUGCUUCAAGUGAGGUGAUGGUGAUUUAGCACUUACCUCCUCGGAGAAUGAAGAGCAGAACUCACAGCUGAGUGGCUGCAGACAACAGAGAAUGAUGAGUUCACAGACCUGCAGCAGAGGGGGCCGCAGUGCAGCUCCGCUCAGGAGAACCGGAGGUCCAGACACAUACUUGCCGUGGUUGAGAAUGGCGGUGCAGUUGGGCCAGCAGUCGUGGUUGACCAGGGCCAGGUUGGGAAAGAGCCCCACCCCGACAGCCUGCAGACCUCUCUGUCUGUCCAGCUGCAAAACGACAAACCAACACUGACAAUGCCAAAUAUGUGGGAGAUGUAUUCAACAGAGUGCUGCUUGCUCCCGUAGGACCAGUAGUCCUGGAGGACACGCACGUCCGUCUGGAGCUGCUGGAGCUGCUCCUGAGACAGCUGGUCCACGUGUUCCUGCAGCUGGUCCACCGAAACCAGCUGACUGUCCGACGCCAGGCCGUUGUCCUUAUGAAGGCGCCACAGCAGACGAGCUGCCAGGCUGCCACCCACGAACACAACAAAGGAGAAAGAACGGAAAAACAUCCCAUCUUCAGAAAUCUUUACUCAUUGAAAACUCUUUUCGGUUCAGUCUCUAUAAUUCUUCAGAGCACAGUCAGAACAUUUUCAGUAGAAGUAGAAGAGAAUGAGGGUUCUGGAGGGUUUUAAGGGUUGGAGAUGUCUGUGCAGUUUCUAAAGAAUUGUUGUUUCUCAGUAAACAAAUCUUUACACAGUU